rnacentral:rRNA from 1 species
CCUACGGGUGGCAGCAGUGAGGAAUAUUGGUCAAUGGACGAGAGUCUGAACCAGCCAAGUAGCGUGAAGGAUGACUGCCCUAUGGGUUGUAAACUUCUUUUAUAAGGGAAUAAAGCGAGGCAUGUGUACCUCUUUGCAUGUACUUUAUGAAUAAGGAUCGGCUAACUCCGUGCCAGCAGCCGCGGUAAUACGGAGGAUCCGAGCGUUAUCCGGAUUUAUUGGGUUUAAAGGGAGCGUAGAUGGGUUGUUAAGUCAGUUGUGAAAGUUUGCGGCUCAACCGUAAAAUUGCAGUUGAUACUGGCAGCCUUGAGUACAGUUGAGGUAGGCGGAAUUCGUGGUGUAGCGGUGAAAUGCUUAGAUAUCACGAAGAACCCCGAUUGCGAAGGCAGCUUACUAGACUGUGACUGACACUGAUGCUCGAAAGUGUGGGUAUCAAACAGGAUUAGAUACCCCUGUAGUC